GGGGGUCCAGCCCUGCUUAAACUUGCCAUGAGAAGUCAAAGGUCAUUCCAGAAGCUGCUUGCUGUGUGAAUAUUUCAGUGCCGGAGGUCUCGGGACCCCCGGAGGCUGAGUGGUCCGUGAGAGUGCCUGUCUCUCCUGCAGUGCUGAAUGUAGGACACCAUGCUUGGAGCUCUGUAACCCUGUCAUUUGGAAGCUGUACAGCUGUUGUACUUUCAUGGCUUUCAUGGCUUCAUGAGAUCUGUUUCCUGGAGAACUUGGGACUUUUCACAGUGGAAGUAUUGGAUUGGAUUAUUCCUAACAUAAUAUAGUGUCUUUUUUCUGGUUUUGCUGGUCAGAGUCCAGAUUUAAACCAUGUAAAGAAAAAUUGGUCUCACAUUAAACUCAAACUAGCUCUGCAGUGUUUUCCAGCUGUAUGAUGCCGUCAGUGCUGAGUAGAUCAAUAUCGACUCUUCUUUCUGUAAAAGACUGUCUGCAGUUUUACACACUAAACACCUAAAGAAUCAAAGUGAAAAACUCUUCCAUUUUGAAGUUACUUUAUUGUUUAGCCAUUUUUUGGGAUACAUUUAUAAAUAUAUCACUGUUGUCAGACCAAAACCUUCUAUCUCCAAAUUGAGAACUUUACAGGAGAAGGAAAAAACAUACUUCACUUUUAAUCUAAGUCAGUUGAACCAGACAAGUCCUUUUGGGAAAUUUCUUUUGUUCCUUUCAUCAUGAAAUUUACACACAACAUAUAGGACCAUGGGUAUUUUCACAUUAUGUCAAAAACUGAAAAACGAUAAAAAUGGAGAUACGAGUUUUUCUUCUGACAGCAGCGAUAAGACCUCAUGUUAUAAGAAGCCCAUUUUAUUCAAACAUCGCUGUCACAAUAAAGCACAUUUCCUGCCAUGAAAUAUGGUUUAAUACAAUGUUAGCACCAUGCUACCAACAUUGUACUUUCACUCUCCAACAAAAGGCUGAGCUUCAGUCAUAUCAGUCAGUAGGGCACUGUUUAUUUACAAUAAAAUAACUAUUAAUGAUAGAAUUUCACUAGCUUGCUUGUUUUGCUGUGCUAAUGAUUGUACUCCAGACAGCGGAGUUUAAGCCUGUUAAACGCCACUAUAUCAAAAAAUCACCCCUACAACAUGGAUGAAGUGUCAGGAUGUUUUCCACUAUGGAAAAAUGAGAGAUCAGAGAGGCUGACACUGUACGAGCUCUUUCACUCAUAGCUGGGAUCUCUAGGAAAGUGAAACUCCAUCCCUUUUCUGACCUGAAGGAGUUCUUCCACAUUUAACUCAGUUUGAGCUGCUGUUGGAGAUUCUUGCUGCUCUGUCAUCUUGCCAACGGUAGCAGUAAUCAUGAUUGGUCAGUGACUCUUUUUGGCUCUAGUGAAUAUUCACAAAAAUUUAACAUAGAGUGAAUAAAGUAAUGUUGCACUUUCACUGCCUGUACAAGAUAUCAUCAGCAACACAUGGUCAUCUGAAUAAAUCAAACAAAUAUAUCAGCGUGGAACAGCCUGUACAGUUCUCCGUAAAUGCUUUGUAAUUAUAAACAAACUAGUGUAAAUGCAGACCACAUUGUGAAAAAAAAUAAUAAUUGUCUGGACUUAAAACUGAUGCUGUAGGGCAACUAAUUAUGUCUGGAUCUCAUCACUGGGAGACCAUGCGUUUGAUUCCCAGUGAUGCCACAGCCAUCCAUAACCAGCUGCUCCCCAGUUUCAGUCUCCAUUUCCCAAACUCUUUAGCCGAGCGCGCUAAUGUUACUCCUCCUAAUAAACAGAUGCGUGUUCAGCUCCGCCUCCUCUUUAUUCACCACCGUCAAUGUAAUAUUUCAUCAUUAACACAGAAAGUUAAAAAUUCUGUUUGCUGUACCGUCAGCUUGGUUGUUGUCAUGCCAACAACACAGUCAGUGUGAUAAAAGUUUGCAAAAAUGAAACAGGGCGAGAAAAACAACGUCACAUUUUCGUCAUCCGUGCAAGAUAUCAUCAGCUACACGUGAUUGAAUUAGUUUACUGUCGUCCGAAUGAAUCGCACAAGCAAAUCGGCAUGUAGCUCCUUUACGGUUCUGCGUUUCUCGUAACUGUUUAGAGAUCACGUAUAUCUCUAUGAGAAUAAUCACGAACAAACAGGCGCAAGCUCGGACCACGUUGUGAAAAACGGCCCAGACACUCCAGGAAACAGAGUUUGGGAUGUGAAAACACUUCGAGUCACCUUUUUGUACAGUUCACUGUGGGUAGCGUGUGUGUCCUGCUGUGUCGUGUUAGCCUCUGCACGCACACGCGCACACACACACUCAUCCCGCGGUUUCAGAGACGGUGGACUGUGGAACAGAACGAACAGAAGAACCGGCUCACGAAGAGAACGAGGCUCAUUCUGAUUCUGUUCAGACUGAAUUCUGGCUCAGGAUGAAAUGGAUUGAAAACUGGACUAGAUGACUGAACACUAGUGGAACUACAGAGAGAGAAAUAUAUAUAAAUAUAUAUUAAAGUUAUAUACAUUGUAUUUGAAAUUCACUCAGUAAGCCUGUGUAAAUACAAAUGUAUCACUUCUCGUCUUCUCAGAUAUUACAGACAAAUGUUACCAUAUAUUUUUGAUUAAGCCAGUUACCACGGUUACGAAAUCAGUGCUGCGUCUGAAUCUGGGUUUGCAGUGGAUGAUUUGGGAGUUGAAAUCGGUGAAGAGGAAGAUUUUUAUCAUUUGAUUUUUUUAGAUUCUUAUAUCAUGUCUUAAUGGUUUGGGCUUUAAAUGUUUGGACAUUGUUAUUGUAUGUGUUUUCUAUACUGUACAUGCCAAGAUAAACCCAUAAAUCACAUAUAAACUAUCUACCAAUGACAAA